rnacentral:other from 1 species
GUCCCUCUGCGGUGUUCGACAGGAGGUUCAUCGAAUCCCUCGACUUGUUUGCCCCGGGGCCGUUCCCCUCUCGUGUGUUCAGGCCCACACUCUUCAGUGGGAAGUCUUAUCGAGAGUGUACGGCCACCACCUUUGACAAGGUGCGUAGGGGUUCGGCAAUACCACCAUCGACACCGCGGUCAGGAC